rnacentral:lncRNA from 1 species
GGAAAAUUAAAAUGAAGGAGAAGAGGCCGAUAGAUGGUGGGGUAGAAAGAGGCUGAAGGCUCUUCCAGGGCUUAAGCCAACACCAACACACAGGUCACACAGGGAUGGGGAUGGUGAGCAAAUACUCCCACAAGUCUGACUCUAGGUUUCUGAUGCUUCAUAGCCAACAGACCCUAAGCCAAGGCUCUGCUGUGAGGAUGAGCUCCCAGUUUGUUCUUGAUUUAUCACGUCCUGACCUGAGAGAUGGGAAUAUGGGGAGAGAACGGCUCAUUUCCAGCAUAAGAAGAACAUGUGAGAGUUAGUGACAGUCACUGACAUUCUAAAGUUACACUCGUGGCCUCUGGAACCGUCACCCUUUCCUUUCCUGAGGACGUGCUCUCGUCUCCUCUCAUUGUGUCGUCAUCAG